rnacentral:rRNA from 1 species
GGGGAAUUUUCCGCAAUGGGCGAAAGCCUGACGGAGCAAGACCGCGUGAGGGAGGAAGGCUCUUGGGUUGUAAACCUCUUUUCUCAGGGAAGAAAAAAAUGACGGUACCUGAGGAAUAAGCAUCGGCUAACUCCGUGCCAGCAGCCGCGGUAAUACGGAGGAUGCAAGCGUUAUCCGGAAUUAUUGGGCGUAAAGCGUCCGCAGGUGGCACAUCAAGUCUGCUGUCAAAGACCGGGGCUUAACCCUGGAAAGGCAKUGGAAACUGAAGUGCUAGAGUGCAGGAGGGGUAGAGGGAAUUCCCGGUGUAGCGGUGAAAUGCGUAGAUAUCGGGAAGAACAUCGGUGGCGAAGGCGCUCUACUGGACUGCAACUGACACUCACAGGACGAAAGCUAGGGGAGCGAAUGGGAUUAGAUACCCCAGUAGUCCUAGCUGUAAACGAUGGAUACUAGGUGUGGCUUGUAUCGACCCGAGCCGUGCCGUAGCUAACGYGUUAAGUAUCCCGCCUGGGGAGUACGCGCGCAAGCGUGAAACUCAAAGGAAUUGACGGGGGCCCGCACAAGCGGUGGAGUAUGUGGUUUAAUUCGAUGCAACGCGAAGAACCUUACCAGGGCUUGACAUGUCCGGAAUCCCUAGGAAACUAGGGAGUGCCUUCGGGAACCGGAACACAGGUGGUGCAUGGCUGUCGUCAGCUCGUGUCGUGAGAUGUUGGGUUAAGUCCCGCAACGAGCGCAACCCUCGUCUUUAGUUGCCAUCAUUAAGUUGGGCACUCUAGAGAGACUGCCGGUGACAAACCGGAGGAAGGUGGGGAUGACGUCAAGUCAGCAUGCCCCUUACGCCCUGGGCAACACACGUACUACAAUGCUUCGGACAGAGGGCAGCAAGCCAGCGAUGGCAAGCCAAUCCCAUAAACCGAGGCUCAGUUCAGAUUGCAGGCUGCAACUCGCCUGCAUGAAGGCGGAAUCGCUAGUAAUCGCCGGUCAGCAUACGGCGGUGAAUCCGUUCCCGGGCCUUGUACACACCGCCCGUCACACCAUGGAAGUUGGCCACGCCCGAAGUCGUUACUCCAACCGUUCGCGGAGGAGGACGCCGAAGGCAGGGCUGAUGACUGGGGUGAAGUCGUAACAAGGUAGCCGUACCGGAAGGUGUGGCUGGAUCACCUCCU